rnacentral:rRNA from 1 species
AUUGAACGCUGGCGGCAGGCUUAACACAUGCAAGUCGAACGAGUGGCGGACGGGUGAGUAAUACUUGGGAAUCUAGCUUAGGGAGGGGGAUCACUACGGGAAACAGUAGCUAAUACCGCGUACCAUAGGAUGACGCCAUGGGGGAUUGGGUAGGUGGUGAGGUAAAGGUUCAACAGGCCGCGGACCUCUAGCGGGUCAGAGAGGAUGACCAGCAACCCUGGGACUGAGACACGGCCCAGACUCCUACGGUAGGCAGCAGUGGGGAAUAUUGCGCAAUGGGGGCAACCUGACGCAGCCAUGCCGCGGGAAUGAAGAAGGCCUUCGGGUUGUAAAGUUCUUUCGGUAGCGAGGCGUUAACGACAGAAGAAGCACCGGCUAACUCCGUGCCAGCAGCCGCGGUAAUAC